AGAGUUUGAUCCUGGCUCAGGAUGAACGCUGGCGGCGUGCUUAACACAUGCAAGUCGAACGAACCUUCGGGUUAGUGGCGGACGGGUGAGUAACGCGUGAGAAUCUGCCCUCAGGAGGGGGAUAACGGUUGGAAACGACCGCUAAUACCCCAUAUGCCUACUGGUGAAAUGAAUUUCGCCUGAGGAUGAGCUCGCGUCUGAUUAGCUAGUUGGUGAGGUAAUGGCUCACCAAGGCUUCGAUCAGUAGCUGGUCUGAGAGGAUGAUCAGCCACACUGGGACUGAGACACGGCCCAGACUCCUACGGGAGGCAGCAGUGGGGAAUUUUCCGCAAUGGGCGAAAGCCUGACGGAGCAACGCCGCGUGAGGGACGAAGGCCUCUGGGCUGUAAACCUCUUUUCUCAAGGAAGAAGAUAUGACGGUACUUGAGGAAUAAGCCACCGCUAAUUACGUGCCAGCAGCGCGGUAUACCGGAGUGCCAAGCGUAAUCCGAGUAAUGGCGUAAAGCGUCGCAGCGCCCUUCAAGUCUGCUGUAAAGCGUGAGCUUAACUCCAUCAUGGCAGUGGAAACUGAAAGGCUUGAGUAUGGUAGGGGCAGAGGGAAUUCCCGGUGUAGCGGUGAAAUGCGUAGAUAUCGGGAAGAACACCAGUGGCGAAGGCGCUCUGCUGGGCCAUUACUGACGCUCAUGGACGAAAGCCAGGGGAGCGAAAGGGAUUAGAUACCCCUGUAGUCCUGGCCGUAAACGAUGAACACUAGGUGUCGGGGGAAUCGACCCCUUCGGUGUCGUAGCUAACGCGUUAAGUGUUCCGCCUGGGGAGUACGCACGCAAGUGUGAAACUCAAAGGAAUUGACGGGGGCCCGCACAAGCGGUGGAGUAUGUGGUUUAAUUCGAUGCAACGCGAAGAACCUUACCAAGGUUUGACAUCCUGCGAACCUCUAGAAAUUGAGGAUGCAUCCGGCAAUGCAGUGACAGGUGGGAUGGCCAGCGUCAGCUCGUGUCGUGAGAUGUUGGGUUAAGUCCCGCAACGAGCGCAACCCACGUUUUUAGUUGCCAGCAUUUAGUUGGGCACUCUAGAAAGACCGCCGGUGAUAAACCGGAGGAAGGUGUGGAUGACGUCAAGUCAUCAUGCCCCUUACACCCUGGGCUACACACGUACUACAAUGCUACGGACAAAGGGCAGCAAACUCGCGAGAGCUAGCAAAUCCCAUAAACCGUGGCUCAGUUCAGAUCGUAGGCUGCAACUCGCCUACGUGAAGUAGGAAUCGCUAGUAAUCGCAGGUCAGCAUACUGCGGUGAAUACGUUCCCGGGCCUUGUACACACCGCCCGUCACACCAUGGAAGUUGGCCAUGCCCGAAGUCGUUACUCCAACCCUUGUGGAGGAGGACGCCGAAGGUGGGGCUAAUGACUGGGGUGAAGUCGUAACAAGGUAACC
rnacentral:rRNA from 1 species